CGUCAGUCGAGGACUUUACGUGCACUUUAUCUUAUGUAAUGGGUGCAGUCAGUCAGGCUUAUUUCCAUUUUCCCGUGUAAACUCUAUCCGUGCAGUAUUUGGUUUAUUGAUCUAACUAACGACGGCCGGAAUCUGAGCUGGAUAUGGAGCUGAAUCCGUUUCGCCCCAUCAUUACAAUCCUGAUGGAGUUGUUCAAGAUCAUCCUGCUUCUGGUAUGGCACCCCAUGAGGGGAAUACUAGAGGUGUUCGUGCCGGCCCUCAAGAGGACAAAACGGUCAUAAACAAAAUUCGACUGUGAAUAAUUUCACAUGGUGGUUUACAGCUGAUAAACCACCAUAUUACUUUACAUUACAAGUCCCAAACAUACUUGUACGGAGCUGAAACAUUUCUAGCAGUCAAAUGGCCAUUGGAAGUGUAGUCGGCAAAGAGAACAAGUUAAAUUUCCAUUGAACAACGGUCUGGUCUCUUCCUUAAGCAGUGUACAUAACUACGAAUUUGUACAAAGUUUAUUUGUGAAGUACAGUAUGCAUGUACAUGACUUUAUGGUUCCCAUCUCUAUAUGGGUAGAUGGUUUGGAGUAAAUUUCGAUACGGAGAAGCAACAUGAAAUUGAAAGUUAACACAUCCAUGCCCGUAGCCAUUAGCUCUAUAUCAAUAAUUUAAGAAAUUAAAAAUUAAAGACGGAAAAAGAAUCAUUCAUGAAGGAGGGUUUUACGAAGGAGUCACGAGGACUUGACAGAGGCGAAUUAGAAUUGACGUUUCGGUGGUAAUGGUAACAUUCUAUCAGCCAUUUAAAGGCUUGUUGCCAUGUUCACGCUGUAGAAUUUGAAGAUUUUGCAACCAUUAAAACUUCAACAGUUU